GCCGGUGUAGCCAAGUGGUAAGGCGCCGUCUUGGUAGGACGGUCAUCGUGGGUUCGAUUCCCACCUCCGGCU
rnacentral:tRNA from 1 species